UUACGACCAUAUCACGUUGAAACGCCGAUUCCUAAACGAUCACCAAAGUUAAGCAUCAUCGAGCCUGGUCAAUACCUAAAUGGGUGACCGUUUGGGAAGACCAGGUGCCGUAAG